AACAAUUUCCUUAUAUCUCGUAUAACGACUCGUAUUUAUCCGCAUCUGAGUAUUCAUCGCCAAUACUUUUUCACCCAGUUUCACCCCCUUCGUCCACCCUCAUCUCCGACGACAUAAGUUCUCCAUCGGCGCCUCCCCUCCGACGGCAGCAUCCCUCCCUCGUCAGCUUCCCAUAGACGCAUGAUAUCCUUAACCAUCCCAUCCCUCCCUCUCUAUCCCAUCGUCUAAUUUUAUUUGCUUCCACCAUCGUGGGUCGCUACCAUGGGUAAAUAGAGUAGAGUAGAUAGUGAAGAUGCUAACUUUAACGGACAUUAGUAGGUUGAGGUUACGGUAAUAAUUGAGUUUGCACUUGGUAUUCUUCUACUGAAUUCUACUAGAUUUCUUAGUGGCGGUUUUCACUAAGAUACUCAAGCCCUAAUUCCUUCUUUUGAAACACUGAUAAUUAUCAAUUGGCACAGGUAACUCUACAAUUAAUUUCUCUAUGUUCUCUUGAAUGAUUUAAAUUCAUAUGUAAUGUAAACUAGUUUUUUCAUACUUUUGUAAGAUGCGUUAGUUUUGAUUGAUUUUUACUAUCGGAAGUUUGUAAUAACAAAAUGUUUUGAAUUACAUGACGUUUCUUUUCAUUUUGUGGCUUGAUUUUAAAGUGUCUGGAAUUUUUAUUUGGGAAUAAUGGACGAAGUGGAAUUGCCGAAUGGGGAUAAACCUAACAUGAAUAAUAAUAAAAAAUGCCCAUUUUGGAUGUGAAGGUAAUCAUGGAUCAAAUUGCAGGUUUAACUUUUUAAUUUUAUUUUUUGAGUGUCUCGUAUUACACAACAAUCUGGUAAUGAACAUUAGAAUCUAUAUAUUUUAAUUGAUACAAAGAUGUCCAAGGAUUUUCUUUUAAAAUUUAAGCAUCACAUAUUCAGUUAUCUCAAGUUCAUCCUAAAAAGACCCUCCUUCAUAGAUAAGAAGUCUCUAGUGUUACUAUUGUCAUUUCUUCUUAUAAUCAUAAGGUUUUGUGUUUUUUUUUUCCUUUCUUACAUAUUUAAGUCCAAAGUUUCUUGAUUUAUUACACCAUUUAACAAAAAUUUGAAACUUAUAGGGCAUUGGUUAUUGGUCACCUUAUAUAUUUGAAAAUGAAUAAAAAACUACACGGUGUAGAAAAUGCUCAAUUUUUCUUUUUCAGUGUUAGGAUUGCAGUAGUAGCUGUUUCAACCAUCACUUGUAAAUAAUGAACUCUAGACCUAGAGUUUUUUCAAGACAAUACCACCAAAUCCUAAAUCACACACAUUCUAUUUUGCAUCAUAUGAUCUCUCAUGUCUUUUUUUCUGUUUUAACUGAAUGAUUUUUGUGUUUAGGUUCAAACAUGAAGAUGUAAAAGUAGAGGCAUGUGAAAGCCAUCAAAAAAACAAAGAAAAAUUCUUCAAGAAUUCUUAUAGAUUCUUAAAGAAUGUAGUAUAUAUUAUAAAUGUUUGUAUAUUCUUAAUGAAUAAUGACAAAUUCUUAAAGAAUGUAGUAUAGAAGGUAGUGUAUAUUCUUUGAAAUGUGGUAUAUAAUCUAGUUUUAUGUUAUAAAAAUGGUUGUAUUAUGUUGUAAGAAUGGUUUGUAUUUUUCAAAUAUAUAUUUCUUGAUUAUAUUGCAAUAUAUGUUUUAUUGAAGGA
rnacentral:lncRNA from 1 species